rnacentral:sRNA from 1 species
AUUGAUAGGCGCCGGGCAGCUGAGCUGGUAGGAGGACCAGACGGGGAGGGUCGGCUCCGCCCCCCAGCGUCCCGUGGCCAUGACGACCGCUCAGAGGGACUCCCUGGUGUGGAAGCUCGCGGGGCUGCUGCGGGAGUCCGGGGAUGUGGUCCUGUCUGGCUGUAGCACCCUGAGCCUGCUGACUCCCACACUGCAACAGCUGAACCACGUAUUUGAGCUGCACCUGGGGCCGUGGGGCCCUGGCCAGACAGGCUUUGUGGCUCUGCCCUCCCAUCCUGCCGACUCCCCUGUCAUUCUUCAGCUUCAGUUUCUCUUCGAUGUGCUGCAGAAAACGCUUUCACUCAAGCUGGUCCAUGUUGCUGGUCCUGGCCCCCCAGGGCCCAUCAAGAUUUUCCCCUUCAAAUCCCUUCGGCACCUGGAGGUAUGGGGACACGGGGAUGUUGGUGCAUAGCACCCAACUUGAGGCAGCCCCUUGGGGAUGGGAAAGAGAAGGGCCUCUUUGGUGAGGAGGCCAGGCCUGAGUAUACCCAUUGCUAUGCAGUCA